UUCUGUGAUACUAGGGACUGUCUUACCAGUGGACUUUCUUUGAGGCUUGUACUGCAGGCUAACUGGCCACAACAGAUGAUACCAACAGGAUUUGGUGUUGUGAACAAUUAAGCUUCUCUUCACUUUCCUCCCUUAGUUUUCUUGUGUUUUCUCUGGCUUUAUGUUUCCUGAUGUGGGUUUUUUGAACUUGAACCUCACAAAGAACAUUUGUUAAAAGAUGAUGAAAGAGAUAUGUUUACACCAAAUGGCUGGUGCGCUUGUUCUUUUCCUUGCAGAAUACUCUGGGGUGCGCCAAAGCUUAUGGAACUUGAAAUCUUUUCCUGGUCUGGGGUUCCCUGCAAGCAAAAACCACAACCCCGUGCUAGAAAUAAACAGAAUUACCACAAGCCCUGGGACUGUAGGCAUGUGGAAAUCCCUGUGAUACUAAUGUCUGCUUGUUUUCUCCUUUUUUGGUUCGUCUUAGGCAAUGUAACUUGUGAGCAAUUCAGUGGCAGCAAGCCCAUCCUUGGCUGGGCACACGCCUCUGUGGAUCAAUGUGCUAUGCUGCUUGACCUCUGGACCUCUGAAACUGCUCUCCUGGAAAAAAAAGUCAGGCUUCCAGAAGCUUUCAUUUCCACUCAGCUGGACAAACGGAGACUCUGAUAGGAUGCUGAACCCUAUCACUCGAAAGAGAGAAGCACUGUGCAGCAGGCUGCAAAGCCCUGGUGAAGUUCUGAGACUCAAAAGAAAAAUUAUUGUUGAAUAUUGCCAUUAAUGCAGUGGGCUGUUCUUCUUUUCUCUCUGAAGAAGCCAGAUGCCACAUCACAGAAGAGUGGCAAAGUGUUGGGACUCCUCUGCAAGCAUGGCUACAGAGAAGUCACCCUUCAUGUCCUGCAGUGAGGUGGGGAAGAACAGCAUCUGUGACAGGCAGAUCACAGUCCUUGACCACCAAAAUCAGUGAAGAUGACGCACAUCUGGACAGCGUAUGUGCUUCUGCCCUGGGAGGAAACCCUGCUCACCCUGCUUGCUCUCACCCUGCUGGUAUCGUUUACAGGUUGUGAUGUAAAACAGAGGAAAUGGGGAGUGUGAAUACCAAUCUCACCCUGAAAAGGAUCUGGUUUCCUUAGGUACAAUUUGUGCUUAUCAUUCUUGUGUGAAAGUUAGUAGGUCGCAGCUGGUUAAACAAACCCUGCCCAAUUAUAAUUUCCAUGCUUACAACACAGAGUAUUUAACCUUUCAUUACUCCUUUCUACCCAAAUCAAGGGCUUAAAUUUUUGCAUUCAAUUUUACUUUGUUCUUUUUUCAGUGUAAACAAAAAAGGAAAACAUUAAAAAACUAUAAAAAUAACUUCAAAAAGACCUGAACUUAAUCUCCAAGAUUAAUUGAUGUCUCUUAUUUCAGAAUGUACUAACUGCAUAUUGUACUUCUUCUUCAUGUAUAUGAAGAAAUGGCACAUUGUAUAUAAAAACAAGAAAAUGCAUUAUUCAUGUAAUAAAUGCUGGUUUUUUCAUGUCUUCUGGCAAAAAAAGUAGGCUGCCUACUAGUAACUGCACAUCAUAUUUUAAAAUAAUGAUGCAGAUUUUUAAUGUGCGUCAGUUGCAUUGCCCUGCCUGUC